UUGGGAAUCUUGCACAAUGGGGGAAACCCUGAUGCAGCGACGCCGCGUGGAGGAUGACGGGUCUAGGCCUGUAAACUCCUUUUAUGGGGAAAGACUUAGGACGGUACCCCAUGAAUAAGGACCGGCUAACUACGUGCCAGCAGCCGCGGUAAGACGUAGGGUCCAAGCGUUGUCCGGAUUUACUGGGCGUAAAGAGCGCGUAGGCGGCUCGUUAAGUGUGAAGUGAAAUCUCUAGGGCUCAACCCAGAAACUGCUUUACAUACUGGCGAGCUAGAGGGAUGCAGAGGUUUGUGGAAUUCCUGGUGUAGCGGUGAAAUGCGUUGAUAUCAGGAGGAACACCCAUGGCGAAGGCAGCAAACUGGGCAUCAUCUGACGCUGAGGCGCGAAAGCGUGGGUAGCAAACAGG
rnacentral:rRNA from 1 species